rnacentral:rRNA from 1 species
AACGAACGCUGGUGGUAUGCUUAAUACAUGCAAGUCGAACGGGCAUAGCAAUAUGUCAGUGGCAAACGGGUGAGGAAUAUAUAGGAACCUCCCUAGCAGUAAGGAAUAACUUUGGGAAACCAAAGCUAAUGCCAUAUAUUACCCCUUAAGAAAUGAAGGGGGAAAGAUUUAUCGCUGUUAGAUGGGCCUGUAUCAGAUUAGCUAGUUGGUAGGGUAAUGGCCUACCAAGGCAAUGAUCUGUAGCUGGUCUGAGAGGAUGAUCAGCCACACUGGAACUGAGACACGGUCCAGGCUCCUACGGGAGGCAGCAGUAGGGAAUAUUGGACAAUGGGCGCAAGCCUGAUCCAGCAAUACCACGUGAGUGAUGAAGGUCUUCGGAUUGUAAAGCUCUUUUAGUAGGGAAGAUAAUGACGGUACCUACAGAAAAAGCACCGGCUAACUACGUGCCAGCAGCCGCAGUAA